rnacentral:rRNA from 1 species
AAAGGAAUUGACGGGAGCCCGCACAAGCAGUGGAGUAUGUGGUUUAAUUCGACGCAACGCGAAGAACCUUACCAGGUCUUGACAUCCCGAGAACCCGACGUAAUGGUUGGGGUGCCCUUCGGGGAAUUCGGUGACAGGUGGUGCAUGGUUGUCGUCAGCUCGUGUCGUGAGAUGUUGGGUUAAGUCCCGCAACGAGCGCAACCCUUACGGUCAGUUGCUACGCAAGAGCACUCUGGCCGGACUGCCGUUGACAAAACGGAGGAAGGUGGGGAUGACGUCAAAUCAUCAUGCCCCUUAUGAUCUGGGCUACACACGUACUACAAUGGCGAAUACAAAGGGAAGCGAAAGAGCGAUCCGGAGCAAAUCCCAUAAAAAUCGCCCCAGUUCAGAUUGCAGUCUGCAACCCGACUGCAUGAAGUUGGAAUUGCUAGUAAUCGCGGAUCAGCAUGCCGCGGUGAAUACGUUCCCGGGCUUUGUACACACCGCCCGU